AACGAACGCUGGCGGCAUGCCUAACACAUGCAAGUCGAACGAGACCUUCGGGUCUAGUGGCGCACGGGUGCGUAACGCGUGGGAACCUGCCUUUAGGUUCGGAAUAACAGUGAGAAAUUACUGCUAAUACCGGAUGAUGUCUUCGGACCAAAGAUUUAUCGCCUUUAGAUGGGCCCGCGUUGGAUUAGCUAGUUGGUGGGGUAAAGGCCUACCAAGGCGACGAUCCAUAGCUGGUCUGAGAGGAUGAUCAGCCACACUGGGACUGAGACACGGCCCAGACUCCUACGGGAGGCAGCAGUGGGAAUUUGGACAAUGGGCGCAAGCCUGAUCCAGCCAUGCCGCGUGC
rnacentral:rRNA from 1 species